rnacentral:rRNA from 1 species
UACGUAGGGGGCUAGCGUUGUCCGGAUUUAUUGGGCGUAAAGAGCGUGUAGGCGGCCAGAUAGGUCUGCUGUGAAAACUCGAGGCUCAACCUCGAGCUGUCGGCGGAAACCAUUUGGCUAGAGUCCGGAAGAGGAGAGUGGAAUUCCUGGUGUAGCGGUGAAAUGCGCAGAUAUCAGGAGGAACACCAAUGGCGAAGGCAGCUCGCUGGGACGUGACUGACGCUGAGACGCGAAAGCGUGGGGAGCAAACAGG